CCCAGACAGCACUCGGGUUCGCCAUGGCGCGCAGGCUGCCUGUAUGGGAGCGCACGCGGUGCGUGAUGCUGCCGUGUCUACCGGACGACGAUGAUGACGAGGAUGACGAUUGUUGUCACGUCGCGCGGGAAAAGGGCGAACAUAUCAUCGCGGGUCCAGCAUCGCACGGCUACGGCACUGCGCGCAUACUUUAUCGCCCAAACGACGAUUAUCGUCGGCGCUUUUUAUAGAAACGCGCGUCCCCGCACUAAGUCCCCGCACUAAGGCGACAUCGAGAGAGCCAUUAUGAGACUUGAUGAAAUAUCGCAGCGGCGACGGCGGCGGCGGUAACGACCACGACGACGACGAAUAAUGAAGUUGCGAAUAAACAAGUUUAAUUCUCACUGGA